AAUGAACGCUGGCGGCGUGCCUAACACAUGCAAGUCGGAUGUGCCGCAAGGUGCAUGGCAGACGGGUGAGUAACGCGUGGGGAACCUACCUCUUUGUGGGGAAUAACGCUCCGAAAGGAGUGGUAAUACCGCAUGAGAUCCAUGACUGGGAUGUUGUGGAUGAAAGCUGGGGAUCGAAAGACCUAGCGCAAGGAGAGGGUCCUGCGUCUGAUUAGCUAGUUGGUGGGGUAACGGCCUACCAAGGCGACGAUCAGUAGCCGGCCUGAGAGGGUGAUCGGCCACACUGGAACUGAGAAACGGUCCAGACACCUACGGGUGGCAG
rnacentral:rRNA from 1 species